rnacentral:rRNA from 1 species
CCUACGGGAGGCAGCAGUAGGGAAUAUUCGUCAAUGGGCGAAAGCCUGAACGAGCGAUGCCGCGUGAGUGAAGAAGGCCUUCGGGUCGGAAAGCUCUGUUUCGGGGGAAAAAAAGCAGCAUCAGGAAAUGGGUGCUGACUGAUGGUGCGCCGCCAGAAAGUCACGGCUAACUACGUGCCAGCAGCCGCGGUAAUACGUAGGGGGCGUGCGUUAUCCGGAAUGAUUGGGCGUAACGGGUGCGCAGGCGGUCCUGCAAGUCUGGAGUGAAACGCAUGAACUCAACUCAUGCAUGGCUGUGGAAACUGGAGGACUGGAGAGCAGGAGAGGGCUGUGGAACGCCAGGUGUAGCGGUAAAAGGCGUAGAUAUAUGGAAGAACACCAGUGGCGAAGGCGGCCGACUGGCCUGUUGCUGACGCUGAGGCACGAAAGCGUGGGGAGCGAAUAGGAUUAGAUACCCGGGUAGUC